GAUGCCAUCUCCCUUUGCUCCGAAAUCGAGCACAUUGAACAUGGCUGUCUUCAUCGGAUACUCUGUUAUCGGGGUUGGGCUCAGAGUUGCACUCAGGGACAACACUACCCUAACAGCUUGCUGCAAGCUAGUCCAGGAGUUCUGCAGCCUCUGCUACAUGCACAUCAACUCGUAACAGUGACAUGAAAGAUUACAAUUCCACCAAAACUCCAUCACAGAGGAGAGGGUUUCUGUAAGUGUGUUUCUUCCUGAUGCAUGCAAAGGCCGAAGUAGGGCACAUGAGUGGGGCAAUGACAACAGCAGCUGCUCCUGAUCACAUGCAGCUGAUCACGGGCGGGAGGAUACUGCUUUGUCCACUCUGGGAGUCAGGUUGAUCCAUUAGUAGCAAUCUGUACCUCCGCUAGCAAUCUGUGCAAUCAUGGAGGAUGACAGAAUACAUACUCAAACAUCAGAACAGUGUGCCCUGUAGAAAGAUUCAUGGCUCCCAGAGUUCUAAUGCACAUGCUACUUGGAUCAGAAGGCAUCCAACAAUAGUUCACUUUCCCCAGAAGAAACCCUAAACAUUGAAGAAGAGCCAGGAGUCACACAGAUCAUUCUGGAACAGCUUCAAGAAAUAGCAACCACAACAGUUCUAACCAGGAAAAGAACAAGAAAUGGUUAAUCUGCAGCUCAAGUGAGGACUGUGCCAAGGACUGUCAGUUGUACUUCAUCACCUGCAGCAAAAUGGUUCCAUUCUGAUAUUUAUGUGGGCGAUACACUGAGAUCACCUUCUUUUCUGAUUGAAGCUUCACGAUAGAAAACAAUCAAAGUCUGCUGCCCUGGGCAAGUAAGUGAACAACUAAGCCAUGGGCUCCAUUCUGCUAUUUCUGUGGGCGAUAAGCUGAGAGCACCUUUUCUGAUUGAAGCUUCGUGGCUGAAAACAAUCCAAGUCUGCUGUCCAAGGCAAGUGAAUACCUAAGCCAUGCUUUUAGUGUGGUCUGCACUCUUGUGACCCACAGUACAUACAUGCAUUGCAGUUCUUCAUCUCACCCUGUUCAAAAGAUGAUCAGAACAGAUUGAAAGAAACAAUGGCCUUGACCCAUCAGAGCGAGAGUAAAAUAAAAUAAUUUAGACAAAAGAAAAGAUAUCUCAAAUAUAUUCACUAAAAACUUGACACAAUUUACUUAUUUUUAAUAAUAAUAAUAAUAAUAUCAUAAGUUUUAAUUAUUUAAAGUCGAAUAUAUGAAUCUUUUAUCAUGUUACUGAGAAAAAAGAAUACAAAACAUAACCAUAUACAGUCUAAGGAUAGACUCUGAAGACAAUAUAUCAUAUUUAAUCUCUUAUGAGGUAAAAUUUAAAUUGGACUCUUCCUGGGUACUGAAUUUUAAUUUAACUUGUCUUUUAUGUGAGAUAUUUGAAAAUUUCAACUUUUAGGGGUUGUGU